GGCAGGAGAAGCAGGCGGCUGCCGGUCGGAGCGUGAGGUGAACUGAAUUUCAGCCCAAAGACACGCAUCAUCCGUUAACAGGGGAUUCCUUGAUAGAUGGAGAUGCUGAUAUGAGAUGGAUAAAGUGGUCUGGCGGAAAGCGGUGGAAAGUGGAUUGGAUGAGGAAGAGCAAGGGUGGCAUAUUAUGCUCUCUCACGUGGCUUUAAAGGUAUUUAAUCUAAAUGUCAUUGUUGUGAUUAAAAACUGUUUAAAGACUCCUUUUAGGCAAUUUCUACAGAGAAUAAAUACAAAAAGUACCUUUAACAAUGCAACUCUGUUUUGUGUAGU